rnacentral:lncRNA from 1 species
AAUCAACCACCUUUCAUUUUAGUAUUUUUGAAAGGUUAAUUUUAAUAGUCAUCUUGUCUUUUUGGAUUAACAAUUAUGCAUCAACUAAAAAUACAGUAAAUUAAACUAAAAAAUAAAGCAAUAAAAAGGUAAAAGAAAUAAUAAAAGGGAGGGGGCACACUAUCAACACAAGAGAUAAACGAAUUAAAAAAUUAAAUGAAAUAAAAGAAAGAACAAAAAUAAAUAGAUAAAGAUAUAAUAAGAAAAUAA